GGCGUUGUGGCAGAGUGGUCUAAUGCGCAAGACUAGAAUGAUAUCACAUCAGUUUAUCUUGUUCCUUCGGGAGCGCCUGUUCGAACCAGGUCAACGUCG